UGGAUGCCUUGGCGUCAUCAGGCGAUGAAGGGCGCAGCAAGCUGCGAUAAGCUUCGGGGAGCGGCAUACACGCUUUGAUCCGGAGAUGCCCCGAAUGGGGAAACCCAACACCGGUAAUUCGGUGUUACUUCGAGAUGAAUACAUAGUCUCGAUAGAGCGACACGCGGAGAAGUGAAACAUCUCAGUAUCCGCAGGAACAGAAAGAGAAUCGAUUCCGUCAGUAGUGGCGAGCGAACGCGGAACAGCCCAAACCAUCGGGAUUCAUCCUGGUGGGGUUGUAGGAUCACGAUAUGGAAAGCUUAGAUUAGGAAAACCGUCUGGAAAGUCGGGCCAAAGAGGGUGACAGUCCCGUAUUCGAAAAUCGAAGCAGACCUAGUGGUAUCCUGAGUAGCACGGGACACGUGAAACCCCGUGUGAAUCCAUGCCGACCACGGCAUAAGGCUAAAUACUCGAUGACGACCGACAGUGAACUAGUACCGCGAGGG
rnacentral:rRNA from 1 species